rnacentral:rRNA from 1 species
UACAGGGGGGGCAAGCGUUGUUCGGAAUUAUUGGGCGUAAAGCGCGUGUAGGCGGCUUUGCAAGUCGGGUGUGAAAGCCCUCAGCUUAACUGAGGAAGUGCGCCCGAAACUGCAGAGCUUGAAUACCGGAGAGGAUGGCGGAAUUCCCCAAGUAGAGGUGAAAUUCGUAGAUAUGGGGAGGAACACCGGUGGCGAAGGCGGCCAUCUGGACGGCUAUUGACGCUGAGGCGCGAAAGCUAGGGGAGCAAACAGG